UUGGAUAAAAUCUCUCAACAAAGAAGGAUGUCAUACCAUUUGUGACAACAUGGAUGAACCUGGAGAACAUCAUGCUAAAUAAGUGAAAUAAGCCAGACAUAGGAAGACAAAUACUAAACAGUACCACUUAUGUGAGAAAUCUAAAAUAGUCAAACUUAUAGUAGCAGAGAGUAAAAUGGUGGUUAACAGUGGCUGGGUGGAGGGGUAUGUGGGGAUGUACUAGUCAAAGGGUACUAAGUUCCAGUUAUGCUAGUUGAAUAAAUCCUAGAUAUGUACUGUACAUCAUAACCUAUAGUUAACAAUACUGUACUGUAUUCUUAAAAUUUUGCUAUGAAGGUAGAUCUUAUGUUAAGUGUUCUUGUCAUACAUAAAAAGUAAUAAUAAAUAAAGAGUCAGGAAGAAACUUUUGGAGGUGAUGGAUAUGUUAAUGGCAUGGAUGUGGUGAUGGUUUCAAGGGUGUACACUUAUCUCCAAACACAUCACAUUGUAUAUAUUAAAUAUGUACACCUUUUCAUAUGUUAAUUAUGCCUCAAUAAAAUGCUUUAACAAGUGAAAUAAAUUAAAUGAGUGGCAAAAUAAAACAAACCAGUCUUUAACUCUGAAAACCCUUACUAAUUGACUGUUACGAGUUUGCUACUAUACAACUCAUCAGUGUGGUUUGAAAAACAUGAUUUGUUAAGCUAUAAUGUGAGAAUAAAAUUUUUCAUUAAAUUUUUCCUUGGUCACAGCAAUGUUGUCUUCUAUGAUUAAGAGAAAUGUAACAGAAAGGUGAAGGAUAAGAAAAGAGUGAAAAGAUGAUUGAGGAAGCGGAGCAAGCCAAAGAACUAUGUGUACCAUUCCACUUUUAUUUAGGCUUACUUGAGAGGCAAGCAAUGCAUCCGUAUAAUCCAUCAUGGCCUGCUCUGACUGGCACAGUUGACUGAGCUGGGCACCAUCAACCAUAGAAAUUUUGAGGAGGAAGAGACACCAGGAGAGUGUCCACACAGAAGAAAGGCCAUGUGAAGACACAGUGAGAAGGUUGCCGUAUACAUGCCAGGAAGUGUUCUCACCAGAAACCAACCCUGAUGACACCUUCAUCUUGGGCUUUCAGCCUCAGAAGUGGUCCUCUCCUCCAGGGUGGAAGAUGAAUCCUACAUAAAAGGCAAUAAAAAUUUUAUAUAAGAAAAUAAAAGAAAAUUUGGAAUACAAGAUUAGAUAAGAAAUGAAUGACCACCUCAGGACCGGCCUCCCUGCCUGAGUUCAGAAGAGGAGCAAAUGCUUUCCCUCAGGAGGAAUGAACAGAAAACCAGCACAGUGGUGUAGUACCUGCCUGCUAGUUUUCAUAAAAAUAAAAUCAUAGAGGGAAAAAACACUUGAAUAUAUCUGCCAAUACGUUCACAAACAGCUACAGAAAAAAGUUACUACAAGUGUCAACAUGAAGAAAGAAGAUAAUUUGACUAGUGAAGCAAUUGGUUUAAAGGUUAUGAAAGACAAGGAAAUACUGAGGAACUAUCACAGAUUGGAGGAGACCAAGGGCACAUGACAGCUAAAUGCAACAUGAAAUCCUGGAUUGGAUCCUGAAAUAGCAAAAGGAGAGCAGUGAGAAAACUGGGAAAUCCGAAUAAGAAUCCAAUCCAAGAUCCACAUUGGAUGUAGUUAUGUCUCCUUGGCCUCCUCCAAUCUCCAAAUACAUUUGGGUGCUUUCUCUCCUUCGACCCCAGCAAGAUUGUAAUUUACAAAGCUAAGUUUCAUUGACUCUUAGCGCGGCACAGACCAGUGGAGUCUAUACAACAAGCUGCCAUGCUGCAGGUGAACAUGGAGCUGUCAUGCUGGACUGCUUUGCUUCUCACACAUGUCCACUUUGCCUAAUAGGAGAGCUCUGAAAUCAAGGAGGUCUGGGGACUUAGACCAACAUUUCAAGCUAUAAGCACAAGGUAGUUUUGAAGUCUCAUGAUUAAUCUUUAAAGUUUUCAGGGAUUUUAUAUUUUACUCAAAAUUCUGCAUAUUUAUUUUUAAUUCAGAAAGAAUUCUUCCUUAAAUUUUAUAACAAAAUUAACAUGCCAGGAAGUUGUACCAUGUUUAUUCCCUGACUUGAAAUGUUCAUUGUUAAUCCCUGCAUACUUCAGUCUGAGAAGCUCAAACAGUGUCAUUUUACCAUUUCAAAAGUAUGACUGGAUUACACAAACCAUCACAACUAAAUGCUGGUGUCCAGCCACCACCUACAACACUGUCCCUAUAGGCGAAUGCCUUCCAAGUUGCAAACAACUGACUUACAAAUUUUGGCUCACAAUCUACUUAUAAGUUGGGAACUGUUUGUCCUAAUACAAUAUCCCCUUGCCACAGGGUAUGUCAUCACAACAAAUCGUUCUUUUAAUUUCUGGAAAACGCACCACUUCUUCAAGUUAUAUGUUGAUUUUUUUUUUUUCCUCUACAUAUCAAAUGGCCUUCAAGCAGAGUUUCCCAGUAUGACUAUCUAGUUGGGAAAACAAUCUGACAACAACAAAAAGAAGAUACAUGAAAGAGCAAGAUUGAACAGAUCUCAUUUAUAAGCAAGGGCCUUUGAUUCUGUACUCUGUCCUUCAGCUUCAGAAUUCAAUGUUCCUACUCAAUUUUCUGCUGUUCAAAUGAUGCAGUCAUUUCGUUGCUUGGAUUUAGAUGGUAGGCUCCAGCUCUGAAGGCAACAAAGUUGGUGAAAAUCUCACAGGAAGCCAAGCUCUUCUUUGUCUUUUGUCAAGGCCCUUUGUAGUUUCAAAAUGAUCAGAAGCGAGUGCAGGUGAAAAGCAAACACUGCGGUAUGCUUGAGGAGAGUGACAUCAUCUGUGUGGCAGUGCUUUCCGGGCUCCUUACAGAUGGAGGUAAUUGCAGAUGGAAAACCUACCACAGGAGGAGACUACCGGUUGAAGAAUGCCUCAUCUGAUAUAAAACAAAUGGUUAAAAGUGAAACACACUUGGAUAUUACUGCUGAUCUCAGAAAGAAACUCCAUGGGGCUAAGAAAGAAAAAUUAGAAAUAACAACUAAGCACAAUGCAGAGGCCCGUGACCAACUCUGGGUUCAGCCCUGCACUUUGAAGGGUAUGAAAGAAAUGUAAGAGAAGACCCUGCCAUCAAAGGACUUUGGAGACUCACCAUCUACUUUCUUCAUGGUCUGCCACCAUAUGGUGAUAAGGAAUAACCUUGAUUAGAAGGCACAGCCUCUGUGAAAGACCAGCAGGGUUAACUUCAUUGUUAUGUGGGAAUGAUGAUUUCACAUAUAAGAUCCUUCACAGUGAGAGGAGAUUGGUUCAAGAUGGCGGAGUAGAAGGAUGUGCUCUCACUCCCUCUUGCAAGAGCACUGGAAUCACAGCUAACUGCUGAACAAUCAUCAA